AAGUCGAAGAGAAGACACAGGUACCGCCAAGGUGGAGAGUAGUCGUGUGUGUGCUGUAGCGGGCUCGGCGCUUCGGUCCUUGUGGUGUGGCGUGCUCGUCAAGGCAGAGGCACAGCUGGAGAGGGGGAGGGUGCAGCCACUCACAGGGCCCCUCCCUCUGCCCCAAGCUCACCCCCACGAGGACGCACCGUUGCGGACGUGUUCGUGUGUUGCGGCGCGGCCCCAAAGGCGCACGCACAGGAUAGUGUUUGUGCACCCACCUCAUUCUCUCUUGCUCUCCCUCCUCAAACGGGAACACAGUCGCCUCGUCCUUUGUGCGGCGCGUGGCGUCCUUGAUAGCUGCGAAGGUGUGAGGAGGAGGAGGAGGGGGUUACGACUCCGCUCUUCUACGGCUGUAGCUCUUGGUGUGGCAACGGAGUUGGACGGACACCAGUUGUGCCCUACCCCCCCUCCCGCCCCUCUGCUCUCGCCUCUCCCACCGACGUGAACGGAUUUGUACCUCCUCUGGAGGCCGUCUUUUCCUGCUCUUUGCAUUCGCGUGUGGCGCCUUUCUCUUCCCCAGCCCACUUUUCUUCUGUGUGUGUGCUUGUACGUGUGCGUGUGUGCGCUCACGCACGCCCUUCCCGCGUGUGUGCGUGCGUGAUCGGCUUUUUAGUGGCUCCUUUAGUCUGUUGAACGCUCUACACAUAUUCUCUCUUUAUAUGUGCCUACUCCCUCGUACACCUGCCCUCCCGCUCUUCUCUUCCUUUUUGGUUUCGAGUGUGCGUGUGUGCAUUCCGUUGUUGUGGCUCGUGUUGGAACGCACUCGCUUGCCAUCCCCCUCUUUCCUUUUCAUCCCCCCAUCCCUCCCUUCCCUUCCCUUCUUUCCUUCCCUCCUCCACGACGACGGCGGCAGCCGCAGUCACGUCAGUCAUCGCCAUCACCCGCUUAUCACCCACAGCGGGAACGAGAACGUUCUGCCGGCUCGCCCGCUCUAUUUUCACGGGCCACCUACUUCUCUUUUCAGCGGUGCCGUUGCCGUGGUACAUCUUUGGGCUGCCUCCCCCCCCCCCCAAAAAAAAAAAAACAAAAAAAAAGGCACGCGUGCCGACGUCACGUACGCUGCCGCCUCGAUCUUGCGGUGGGUGGGUGGGGCACACACGCGCGCGCUCGGCACGUACAUUAGGGCACAAACCCACACACACCCACGCCCAUAUAUUUAUAACUCUGUCUGGCUUCGUUAUAUAUAUAUAUAUAUAUAUAUGUAUAUAUCGGUGUGCACGUGUGUGCGGUGAUCGUCGUAAACAUCAUUUUUGUAUACCUUGUCAUAAUCAAUAUUGGUUUAGGCGGCGAAUCGACGUCUGCCAAGCUCAUCGUCGGACGCACGCAGGCGAAUUGUGGCUCGUGGUGCGCGGCGCCCGCGACACCUCAGCUUCCGUGGCACGAAGCCGACACCUUUACAACUGUUCUUGUUGGGGUUCUGUGCGCCUCCCUCCUUGUCGGUUCUCUUCACGCGUUUUUGGUAGCCACCUCUAAGACGACUAGGACUGCCGCACCUUCAGCGACAUCAACAGGCUCCACUGUGCCGCGUGCGCGGUACUGCGAUCGACUACACCUGCACCCCUCACCCUCGCUCGCUCGCCGACCCGUUUAGGUUUAUUGCGUGUGCUUCCUUCCUUUUUCCUUCGGUUGUCGUUGUGUCAGACUUGUCACACGUGCGUGUGUGCGCUGCUGUCCUUCGGCUGGAUCCUACGUCACAUUCCUGCUGUCUCUUGUUGGUCUCUCUAUGUAUAGUGUGUCGGCCUUCUCACGCUCAGAACUCAGCCGAACGUCUCGGACGCACGCGUAUUCGCAACGUCUUGUGGUCGCCUUCCCCCGCCCCCACGCCGGGGUGUUGCGUGUGUAGCUGCUUGUGGCUCUCUGUCGUUGCUGCUAUUUCCUGUUGGUGGUGGUGGUGCUGUAGCCACUGCGCGUGGUGGCGGUAAUUCAGGCACAUCUGCUGCUGCUGCUGCUCUCUCUUUGCGCGUGUGUGCGUGUGUGCGCUUCUCGUUGAGGGGGACAGCGGGACAGGGGGACGGGCCUUCGUUUCUAUCGAUUUCUCAGGUAACGUAUGUGUAUAGAGACGCGCAAGCGGCACGUAUUUCUCUGUUUUUUUUUUUCUUGUAUUUGUCUUGUUGCUCGCGCGCGUGGCCUCACUUGUGCGUCGUCCUCGUUGGCCCACUCGUCAGCACACGUCGACUAUCAAGCGACGCCGACUCCCUCACUCUCUUUUAUGUGAACCUGCUUCUCUGAGAGUUCGUUUCUGGCCACGGUUUAGGUGUGUCGGCGUCUGUGCGUGCGUGUGUAUGCGCCCUGCUUGGGCCCUCCUAGCUCUCUACACAUCACUUGUUUCGUGCACAGGUGGGCUUCCCGCAACGUUCUCUCUGUACGCUUCCGUGAAAGGCGUCAUCGAUCAUCAUGGACAGACCCCUCAGCAACGCCAAGGACGGUGAUGGCGUUGCCGUCUCUGGUCCUCCUCCGGCUCAAGCGACACGUCUGUCAGCCGCCCCUGUUGUCGGUGCGAGCGGCAGCAGGCGCGGUAGCUGCAACCGUUCCCCAGGGUUGGAUACAACCACUAACCGCGUCAGCCGCAGCAACAGCAGCAGCACCAGCGGCAGCGGCGUUGCUGUCGGCGGAGCUCAUCCCGGCGUUAAGUCUACCGGCGCCGUUGUCCCCGCGGCAGCUUUGAAGGCGUUUGGCAUGAAGCGGCGCAGCGGCAGUGACGCCCCGACUUCCCCUCAGCCGCCUAGCGUCCCAUCGGCGCCGGAGGCACCGCUCAGGAAGCCACGACGCGGCAUGGGUGAGGCAGUGGCAAGUAGAGACUCGCCUGCCUGCGUGCCCUCCCUCAGCGUCGGCAUCAGCAUCCCAUCGCGCGCCACGGAUGACACCCCUCCCGUGCCCACAAAGAAGAAGAGCAACGGGCAAACAUCACAGAGCGAGCUCUCUGGUCAGCAGUCGCCAAACUGCCGCGCCGCGCGCACGUCACGGGUGGACCACGGCAGAAUCGGGGUCUCGGCACAGCUGCGCUUCCUUAGCGUGACGAACUGCAACAGCCAUGCAAGCCUUCUUAGCGGCAGCGGUAGUCGCAUCGGCUGCUCUCCUGUUCUGAGGGAGUUUGCACGUGAAAGCUUCAGCCUUGCCACCGCGUCGGAUGACGAUGUUGUGAAGGAGGACUCUGCUUGUGGACAACGCAGUGGCACCACGGCCACCUCGUCCUUGUCAUCGUCGUCAACGGCGCCGCGCAGACACAGUCUGACGCCACAUAGCACGAACGCCCAAUAUGGCGCCAGGGCUGUCCUCAUACCCACUCCACCUGCUGUCGCCGCAGUUGGGGUGUCGUCAUUGUCAUCACCGCACGACCUAGGAGGUGGAUCGCGCCCGGACAGUCACGCCCCGGUUUACCACGGGAGCGACGCUGCACGACGGCCGAGUCUCCUUGCAGGGGUGAAACCGGCACACGUGAGCACCAGCAGCGUAGGCAGCGAGGGCAGAGGCGAGAGUGGGUGCGCUCAGCCGCCAUCCGUGAGCAGAGCGAGUCUCUCGUCUUCACCCUUCGCGCGCUGCCCGAGCUUGGUGUCGAGCACGAACGCAGGCAGUCCCCGUGAUGGGACAGCGAGGCGCUCUCUGGCUGGUUGCUCCUUCGCCGCCGCCCGGCCUGCCCCUCGAUCACCGUCGCUAUCCUUCGCCGACACCAACACAAGCGCCAACACAACCGCCUCCUCCCCCAGCUCUCACACGGAGUCGACGAUGGCUUUUGGCACCUCCACGACGGUGAUGGCGCUCGCCUCAGCCACCGGCACUGCAGCCAUGCCGCGGCUGAACAACGCGGCUGCCAAGAAGUCGUUGAUGUCUUCAGCUGUCGCGUCGCCGCACUUGAUGGUGCCACAACGCCUUGCCUCAUUGGCUUCCCGCCUCCCCGCCACAACGUGCUCGGCAGCGACGACGAGCACCACCCACACCGCCACGAGAGACCCCAAGAUCAUCUCCGAGGCAGUGCUUACUACGAGCACGACCGCCACCUCGAUAACCCCAACGAAGGGGCGGCGUUUCAAUUUGCGGCUGUCGAUGCUCCCCGUGACAGCCAGCGUCGCCACCACCGCAGCCGACUGUCGAGUUGGGAGCACGUUGUCAGACGCAACGCAUGCCAUUACAGAGUCUGCCGCUGUAGCGGCCAUGACGAGGGCCUCUGCCACUGCUCAGUACACCGUCUUGGAGCCGCUCACGUCGCCAUCCUCGUCCAAAUCCAUCGCCUCCGGUAUAACCUCGGCGGUGUCGCCCGACAAGCUCCACCCAGGCCCUGACGGCGCUCAGCUCUGCCGUCGCCUGCGCGGCUCCUCAGAGCUCGUCGCGAGCAUGCCCAGUAUGCCGUCCGCCCCUGAACGUCUCUCCGGACCAACGCCGCUGGCUGAGACCAGCACUGUGAUACAAGGUUCUCAUCAGCCAUCGCCGACACAACUGUCUCGACAGAGCCAGCUGGUCGACUACGCGAGCAAGGAGGACGGUAGCAUCGUGGACAUGCCAGUCCUCACUGGCCGCGCGGCUUCCCCGCACAUUCCGGACGCCUCGCCGGCUGCCUCGGCAGCGCCGCCGCCGCUGAUGCGCAGCUCCCUCUCGAGCGUAUGCUCAUCGUCCGCGGUGAAUUCGUCCCUCGUGCGCAGGCAAGGCUCUAUGCCGCUGCUUUCAGCCUCGCAUGCGGGGGCUGCCAUGAUGGAGGCCAUCGGAGACGGCCACGGUGGACAACAGGCGUCCAUGGUCGAGAAGUGCGGUUCUGCUGCGUCGCCGCUGCGCAUGCCCCAUCAUCCGCAGCACGCUGCCAGCGAGGACGGCACCGCGUCGGAAAACGCGGUGCUAGAGGUACGCGCGCGCGGCACUGAGAGCCCGCAUCUGCGGAGCACUACCAUCGCCUCUAAGCUGAGUGCCAGCGGCGGUGGCGGGACGCAAAACGAAGCGCCGCCGACGCUCUCGUCACUCGACAUUGUUGGCGUUGGCAAAGACGAAGAGGGCGGAGUGGGUGCCGAUGUCGUCUUCGUUGCUGGAUCAAGCCCACUCGGGGAGAAGCCAAUGCCUGUCCCUGCCCACCACAGCAGUGGCAGCAACGACAGGGACGACGCGGCAGCGCCGCGCGGUGGAGUUCCGCGUUUGCACAAUCGACUGAGCCAUGACGUUGCGCUGUUUCCGCAGACGACGCCCCUGCAGUCGGCCCUAUCCACGACGCCGAGCAGGUCCAAGGCAUCGUCCAGCGCUGCGGGUCAGCGAGGGCUGCUGACGCUGUUCGCUGAGCUACCAUCUGCGUCACCGGCAGCAACGGAGGCGCCUGCUGACCCCAACGGCGACUGUGGGGGAUCGGCCGUGGCGGCCGCGCGCGACGUUCCGCGGCUUCGUGAGGGCACUGGAAUUGGGGCCACGCCGUCCAUUCUGACCGCCUGUCCUGCCGACUUCGGUGGCGGCAUGGACACCGCGCACUUAAGUGGUCGUCUGCACGCCGGCCUCCCUGCGCCGCCCGGUGCGCCAACGCUGAGCCCGCGCCUCGAGGAGGCGGAGCGGGAUCUGCAGCAUCAGGAUAGUACCGCACCUCCUCCCACAUUCUCGUCGCACACAGCAGAGGUUCCUGUUCUGGCGGUUUGUGCUUCGUCACCUGAUGGUGCCGAUGUGGUGGCCAGAGCCAAGGAUGCAGCAGCUGCCAAGGCGAUGCCACCAAGCAGCUGCUUCGCAGGGCCGCUUGCCGAGUCGGGGCUCGUGACACCGCUCCGCACCGUCCCAGGGCGGCCGAAGCCAGGAACCUCGGGCAGCCGCAUCGACUCACGCCUCUGCACGCCUUCUUCCGACACCUCCUUCCUCGAGUCUAAGGCAGGCAGGCUCAUCUGUUCCUCGACUCGGUGGUCUGUUCCGACGGUGUCUUUGGUGAGCACGACGCAGCUGCCGAGCAACGGUGCCACGGCCCUUCUGCCCACGCAGGGCCUCGCGACGCCGCGGGCGCCGUCGGCGUACCCGCGCGGCACCCACUCGUCCCCCAAGGCCCUUUCUUCCGUUACUUCUUCCGCGGCGUCGUCGCUCCUGAUGCGGGGGGCUGCUGCCAAGAGCCCCACGGCCGGCGCAUCGCGGCCUCCGCUAUCCCCGCCCCACCUUGCUGCGGCGGCGGCGGCGGCGCCAACUCCCUCGACCGCAAGCGAUAUCGCCCCAGUCGCGUUGCUGGCACUGGCAGAUGUUGCUUCACUUUCACCGCGUUCUGCUUCGCUCGGGGACGGCAACAAGGUCGCACUGGCUGCUGCGCAGCACCGGCGGACACUGGACGCGUUGGCGGCCGGCACGUUGCGCAGUACGGCCGGCUCUGUGUCUGUGCGACAGACGUCCUCGCUCUCUCCUUUCCCACCAGCAAAGGCGCCAGACGACGACACCGCUACCUGGGCCACGCCACGUUCGGGCAGUAACAGCAGGGUUGCCGUGUCUACGCCGAACCCGCCCCAGCGAGCGGGCGUAUUUCCAUCGAUGCCACCGCCGCCCUCCUUGAGCAACACCGGCGGCGUCAGCAGCCUCGCAUCUCACGGUGUAUGUCCGACGACGACGGCGAACGCGCACAGGUUUUGUGACUGUUCCGACGGCUCUUUGAGCGACAUCGGCGGCUCCAUACUUACUCACCACUUCGUGUCGUCCUCGCGGCUUGUCUUCGACGCUCCCACUACCCCGAAGCUGCCCCUCCACACUGGCGCGAGCGCCGCAACAGCAGCGACGGCGGGGGCGGCCGGCUCAUCUGCGGAUGUGUCCAGUGACGACGUCACCGUAGCGGUGGGGACAAGCUGCGGUCACGACGAGCCGCCCGCACACGACAGCCUCACGUUUACGGAGGACGCAAAGGGGGAUGAGAGGGCGCCAGUCGGCGGCGGUGGCAGCGGCGCAGCCACUGUCUCCACGGAAGCCGGAUACGCCGCUGAGAAUCCUGCACACACCCAGAAGACGGAUAGCUCACUGUCGAGCGGACGAGGCAACAGCACCGGCGGCAGCGGCGGCGAUGGGGACCACCGCCCCAGUGCGGCGCGGUCGUUCUCUGGCCAAGCGACACCAACGCACCGUACCGCAACGGACAAUACGGCGCACCACCUCAGCGCGACAUGCGUGAUGGAACUACCUGCGCACCGGCCCAUCGCAUACCUCUCGGCGGAGAAGAAAAGAGAGUCGCACUGCCGCCAUCACGAUGACUCGAAGCAGCCGCAGCGGAUUGAGCCGAUGACGUCCUCGCAAACGGCGCAGAGCGACAGCGGCGCAGGACGACCACGACUCACCUCUCUCUCUUCCAUGACCGCCUCUGCGAACGGUGACCCACUCCACCUAUCGACUUCCGCGUGUUCGUCGAGCAAGGAUGUGCCCGAAAAUCCAUCGAAGAGCAUCGUCACAGAUGACGGAGACGACUCUGCCAGGCGUCUCCACAAGUCGAAGAUGCCCUCGCUGUUGGACGUCGAUCGGCUUGUGUCGUGGUUGCGCAGUACCUCGGAAAAUGGAAAGUCGUCGAUGGUGAGGCCAUCCGCAGAGGUGGAUAUCGGCGCGGACGGCAGCGCCACCGAAGGGCCGGGGGCCGAUGCACAGCUGCAAGCCAGUAGCACCACCGCCGCCGACACCUUGGCCGUGAGCAGUGCGAAGGGUACCUCGCUCCGCGGCACCGCAUCCAAGACGAUGCCAUACGCCGAUGGCUCCAUCUCCACGAACUCCCCGCUGCUGGUGCGUGACGGGACGCGGGCGGGGCCAUCUAUGUGCGCCCCCUCUCUGGAGAAGCAGUCCUGUUUUGGUGACCCGCACACAACAGCCCACACCGCUCCCACUGUGCCCAACGCGGCUGCCGUUGUGACGGCGACGGCCUUAUCACUGCAGCUCUCGCAGUCCUCCACCGUGUCGGUGCAUGCAUCCGUACCGGCCGAUGUGGGCGGCGUGGCGCUGUGUGGGUCGCUGGAUGCGAGGGGCAGCGCGUGCCCACUUGCGGUGCCUUCGCUUCCUGCGGGGUGCCAGCCGCAUAGACAGCGCGCGGCGUCCACGCUCGGCCGUGGUGGGCCCCACGCAGAGAUCAUGGGAUCGUCCAAAGGGGCGCGGGCCAUCGUCGACAAGAACGCAUCGGCAGCGGAGUGCGACUGCGAGGCUGACGAAACCCGAAGCGCAGCCGCCGAAUUUUCGGCCUCCACCGCUGCGGCCGCGUCGCAGCUGUCAGUGGCGCAAGGGGACCACAACACCCGAUCGUCGUCGCGACUUUCCGUUGCCCCAUCAGCCCCUAGCGACACCGCGAAAGCAGCCGAGGCUGCCGCCGGGCGCCGCUCUGUGGCGUCCGCACCGGCGUCGACCGAAGUGCGUGACGCUGGAGACAAACAUGCCAACGACAGAUGUGGUGGUGGCCCGUCACGACCGGUACCGUUGAGCUCAGCGAUGACCAGCGACGGCCACAGAACCGAUGCCGCCGCCUCUCACACGCAGUCGCAGCUGCAUGAGAGCUCGAACAGCAGCUUACCGACGCCACGAUCUACCUUCUUGGGCAGCGUGCCGCGCGAGAUAAAGCGGUGGGCGAUUGCUGUGCUGCGCCGACACCGCAACAGGCGCAGCAGCGGCAGAUGCACCGGCACAGAGAAAGACGGCACGGGCUCUGAAGUGUCAUCGUCGUCGCAAGCGUCGUCCCUCUGCGCGCGAACGCGCGAAGGCAGGAGCCACCCACCUGCCGCGUGGAAAGCGCUGGAGGUGAAGUCAGCGAGGCCGCUCUACGCUGGGCAAGGCCAGCAGACAUACAACCUCUUCCAGAGCGGCGGCGGCGUUGCCAUGGCGAACGGUGCGGCACCCGCACCGCUGCUGUUGCCAGCACGGCCGCUCGUGCCGGCGGCGUCUUCGCUGUCAGAGGCACCGCUGCCGGGGGUCAGGAGCAACCGCACUUCCCGGAGCAGCUCAGCGACGUCACGGAGUUCCUUCAUCCACACAGCCCCACUGACGCCGUUGUUUUAUUCUGUGUUAGAUUACGCCGCCGCCGGCGCCGAUGAUGGUGGGCCGCACACAGCUGAGGUGCCCUACAGCGUGUUCGGAAGUGCGGCGAGGGCUUUUAGGCGCUGCUUCAGCAGCGCGAUCGCCGGUGGCGACGGCACGAAUACCCCCGAACACAAGCGGGCCUCCGACGAUACCACCGCCUCUGGCUCGCUCGCGUCACCUGCCAGCAGCACAGUCGUGGUAUUGCCGGCGGCACAGAACUCCGUCAUCACACUGGCUGCCGCGACGCAACGGAACGUCUUCCGGGGAACGCCGCUGAGUAGGCGCACCUUCCUGAGCGCCCUCUCCGGCACCGCUGCACCAACGCUCGAUGCCGCAGGCAACGCGGACGAGAUAUCACUCGCUCCGCCAAUGCCCGAUCUGCCCGCAUGCCCUAUUACCACGAAGACGGUUUCGAUGUUACAGCCGGGUAGCGACCAGCUCAGCGGACGGACCUCUACCCUGCACGCCACGGACUCGACUGCUACCUCCUUGUCGGCGACGAUAACGGCGCCAUCAUCAUCGUCACUGCGCACGACCCAGCCCUCCGGCAGCUCCGGUGCCGCUGCUGCCACGGCCUUGUCCUCGCUUUCGCGAGAGCCCAAGUACGCGCCGACGCCAACUAACGCGGCGGACGGCGCACAAUCGCCCGGGUCGGCGUCACGGCUGCUGGGAAGCCAACGGAGGCGCGACAGGUCAACGGGCGACCGCGAUGAUCCGUUGGGCGGCACUGCCGCCCAUCAAAACGUCAAAGCCGACAAGCACGACCAGCCACCGCACCACUCCUGCCACCUUGCUGCCGCCCGCCUGUCGCUGGAGCCGCAUCCGCAGAGUACGCGCGCACCAGCCACGGCGAGACGUCCGCUCAGCGGCUGCUAUGGCGAAGACACGACCACCAUAGCAUCGAUGAGCAGGAGAGGUAGCGCAGCCAUCACGGUCGAGGGCUGCAGCAGCAACACAGUCUUGGUGCUCGAUGCAGCACACGCGAGCGCUCUACACACGUCGCUGAUACCGAGAACGCGGUGCUUCUCCCCUACCAUGCCAACUGUCGCUGCCAAGACGUCGUGCGGGCGCCGUGGUGGCAAUCGCCGCUUCAGCGCCGGCUGCUCACCUCUGCACCCACUCGCGGCACAUGAGCGGUGGCCUGUGCCGACCGAGAAAGCUGAGUCGGCAGCGGUGGCGCACGACAAGAUGCCGUCGCGGAUCGUGCUCGCCGCCGCGGCGAUGCCGGCGCCGCAGGUCACGUCUGUAUCGGCGACCACCAGCACCAUCACCACCUCCACACCGUACUCGGUGAGCUUGACAGACAUGAGCAGCGGCGGCGGCUUCGAGCGUGGUGCCGCUGGCGACCCUGCCACUCCAGACGCGACAGAGAACAGAGCGUGCGGCACACUUUCCAACAGCGCUGCUGCGCCUUCCAGUUGGCAGCGCUCGCACACGGGCAGCGUCGGCGGUGGAAAGGUCAACGUCGCCACGACGACGUCGUCGCAUGCGAUCGCGCACCCCUUUGCGCCCUCGUCAUCUCUACCCUUCAUGAACUCCGCCGGGCCGGUGCACCGAAGCGGCGAGAGUAGUGGCAGCAUCGCUGGCGGUAGAGAGGGUGCCGUGAGCCGGGCGUCCGUCAUCACAGCGACAGCUCCAUCGACUGGUGCCGACGAGGGCAGGUCUGAUGACGACGCUGCAAACGAGAACGCCGCCACUCCACCGCCAGCGGCCACGAGGACGGCUGGCGCAAACUACUCCCCGCCGCCGCUGCUCUCGUGUGACGCAUCGCCGGCGCUGUUUCACCUGUCGAGUCCCUUGGCCUUUCUCCACGAUCGCAAUGAGAGCUUUACGAGCGGUGGAAUCCCGGCGCUCAUGCUCGAUGACCACGACCGGAACUCGCAGUUGAGUUCACCGAAACGACCACGCAGCGACACAGGGGUGCCGCAGCCCGCCGCUCUGUGCAGCGCAGCUGCGCGCGGCAGUGUCUCGCGACAUCAGCAGGACCAGCAGGACCGAGUCGUGCCGGUGCCGGCGCCCCCCGAUUCGCCAGCGCGACCCUCACGGGCCCCGUCAUGCACCGGCGCGACCGCAGCUAUUCCCUCCCCACCAGCAGCAACAUCCAAUUAUGGCGUGCACGCGAUCGUCCGAACGACGGCAGCAGGCGAAGCCUACACCAUGCUGUGCGGCGGCAACGGCGGCAACGGCGGCACUGCUGGUGCUCGCGCGGGCAGCUUGAACACGACGAGUCAUAGCGUCCACGACUCUCCCUCCUCUACAGUCGAUGCCGGGGCGCCGGCGGCCGGGGCUGCGUGGCCGUCAGCGAACAUACCGCCGUUCCACUACUCGCUCGCACAGAGUCCUCAUGCAACUCCGUCAUCGCCACUGAGUGGCGCCGAGUGCGACCUUGCGACACCUGUGCCGCCGUGGGACGCCUCCGGCAGUGGAACCCGCAGCGGGAGCGGCAGUCUUGGGGGCGGCCACAGCGUGCGUACGUCGUCUGAGUUCCCCAGCGGCACGCUCUCGUCGCUUCUCUACAUCCCCCCUGAGCUACGCCGCGGGCCGCAAUGGCGUCAUCUCAAGCAGCACUUGGGGGGUCUCAACAACAUCUCCUCGCCCUCCCUAUCGGCGAUCGCACGACAUCGCAGAGGCCGCGUCGGUGCUGCUCGCCGCAGCUCCUCACAUCGACAGGCGGCACCGACGUCGUCUUCAUCGUUGGCGGUCCUCGCCGCCGCACCGGGCGUAGACGCGGGUGCGAAGACGCCGUCACGUGUUUCCUCGCCGCGCUCGCCCAGUGAGCGCUGCAUCGCGCCAACUGCGUUGGCGGCCGGGCGGCGGCGCGUCAGUGAUGGUGCGGCGACAAACUCGGCUGAGGAGCUGCGCUUCUCGCGCUCGUUUAAAGCGAAUUGCAGCUACAAAACGCUUUCCUAUCAGGUGAUCGGCAUGCGCCCUCUCAGCGACGACGUGAGUGAGCUCUCCCUCGUUUCUGCCGUCAACAACGCGACAGUGGCGACGGUGAUGUCGGAGUGGCCGAGCGGGAAUAACGCGAGCAGCUCGGCAAUGUCGCGCGAGAGCACGAGCAUGCACGCGAACGACGUGCUGCCAACCACUGCAGCUGCAGAAGGGCCCGUGGUAGGUGCGCGUCCGUCGUACGCGACCAGCUCCAAUGCCGUGCACGGCAGCGAGGAGGAUGAGGCGAGCAGCGAUACUGCUGCCGUGACGGCUGCUGUGCACGUCAGUUUACCAUCGCGGUUGUUGCUGCGCCCGACGCACGAGCGACGCUCAGCUCGGUUGCGCGAAGUGGUAGGCGAUGGGCGGCCGCUUCGCGUUCCCGCUGUCGUGAUACAGAGCAACGCCGACAUCGACGAAGGCCACAAUCACCCUGACAGGGGCGACAGAGAUGACGGCAGCGACACGGAGGCCAGCGCGAACACGCAUGCGACGUCUGGGAGCAUGCUCUGUCACUGUCGUUCACCGAGGUGAUGGCCGCCACGCCGACGGCGCUGCAAGGGCGCCUCUUGCCCGUCAUUGCCUUUCACUCUAGCACCACCGGCCGCUCUGAGGGGUUUCAGGACGUGACGUCCCGGGAAGACGACCAGGGCAGCCGGUGCAACAGCAUCUCGGCGGGCAGUCCUCGGUCGAUCGUGAGCGGCGCCACCAGCCGUCCUGGGGGCCGGGGCGCGCCACAGCAGCGACCCAUUUUCUACGCCGCUGCCGCACACGAUGGCGACGCAUCCUGCGCGGCAGCGGCGCUUGACGCGAAGCGGCCGCCACGACAGCACGGCGACGUGGCUUUGAGCGCAGCUGAGCCACGGCCUCUGGCGGAACUCCGCAAGAACCAGCAUUGGCCAUCUCCCUCUUCGAGGUGGACCUUCCAGGCCUCCUCUCUAUGACAACCGAAGCAGCGGAGCGACGCGAUCGUGAAGGCGGCAUCGGCGCCCUCGAACAUGCUCUCACCACUGAGCGGCGACGGAUGCCGCACCCUUCCUUCUCCUAUGCGGCCGCCGCGCGCGUCUCGUCGAGGCAGCUGUAGGGGGUGAGGCCACCGGCGCGCACAGAGUCUUCAGCGAUAGCGGUGGUGUGUGGCUGUGUCCUGUGUCGCCGCUGCUGCCGCAUCCGCCCACUAAAGCGCAGCUCGGCGAGCUGCGUGCGCCGUUAUCGUCGUCUUGGGCCCAACUCCUAGCGAUUACUGCGGGAGGCGACGCAGUUGUCGACAUCCGGGUGAUGGCUGCUGUGCUGCAGACACAAUGCAGGACCGAGCAUCCGGCGCGACGGUCUUUGGACGCGGUGUGGCAAGCAUCGAUGCGUUGCCGUGCGGCCGAAGGGGUGGCCGAGGGAGAAGUGCAGGGAAAGGAAUAACGGAUCGUGGCAGACGGGCGGCGCGUCAAUGAAGCACACCGUACAAAAAGCCACUGCAGAACCGGCGGCAGCAGCAGCGGUGGUGGAGCACCUCCCUGCACGUUGCUCCGCACUCGAGUGGGCGCGUUGUGCCACAGAGGCUUCAACCCAUGUGGAGAGGUGAUGAAUGAUGAUGUGCACAUUGGCUUCUUUCAUCUUUUUGCGGCUCCGUCCGCACGCUGCUGCGAUAACCCCUCACUCUCCCCCGUCCUCGUGGUUGUGUAGGCGUGUGCGUGCAGUGUUGCCUCCUUCCUAUAUAUGUAUAUACGUGGGAUGUAUAUGCGUUUUGCUCUUCAAGUAACCGGUCGUAUCGCCCUCUCCCCCGACCGAAUUGUGUAGGCCUUGCUGACCGCCCUCUCGCCGUGACGAGACGGCGGCGGCCGUUGCCUCUCUCACGCUCUCCAUCUUUUCUGAUCGGUUCUGUCGUGCCUUGCCCAGCCGUUGAACGACGGUCGGUUGCGUAAGUCGACAUGGACGCGGACUGUAGACAGACUCGCCCAUUCCUAAGCGAUUUGAAGAAGAAGGCGGUCAAGUACACGUGCCGUUUCUCCUUGUCCAACGGCGUUUAUGGUUUGGAGCUCACGCGACAACAGGCCUGAUGGUGCGGUGCGAGCGCCUCUUCAUAUUUUCUUUGGCUCCCGUCUCACGUCCGUGUGCACGGUACCUGUGCGCGUCUCUCCGUCUGUGAAGGGGACUUCCUGGAAGAUGCGAACACCCAGAGCUCACAGACGAUGUACACAGCAACACGUACGCAGCGUGACAUCCCCGCCUCCGCGUUUCUCCUUGUUCAUCAUCGCCACCUUUCGCUUUUUUUGUUUGUUUGUGUGUGUGUGUGUAUGUGCGCGCUGCUAAGCGCCGAUCAUCGUUAUUCUUGCGUUCUUUGUGCGAGGGUCGCUGCUGCUGCCACUCACUGCCCUCUCCUCUCCAUCUCUCGCUAUACAGAUAACGUUAUAUAUAUAUAUAUAUAACGAAGUAUCCCCAGAUGCCCAUGCAUGUGUGCGCGUGUGUGGGCACCGGCUUUACAACGUAAGUUUUACUUUGAUCGUCCGUGGUGUUAUCCCGGAUGCUGCGGAUGCUGACGCGCACGCCAGACGAGACCAAAACACGACGUAAAGAGCCAGAAAGGAGCUGCCUUGCUGGGUCUAGGUGCAACUGAAUGCCCAGCGCGC
rnacentral:misc_RNA from 1 species